rnacentral:rRNA from 1 species
GAUGAGUGGCGAACGGGUGAGUAACACGUGAGUAACCUGCCCCCUUCUUUGGGAUAACGGUCGGAAACGGCUGCUAAUACCGGGUAUUCACUGUCCUUCGCAUGGGGGGUGGUGGAAAGGUUUAUACUGGUGGGGGAUGGGCUCGCGGCCUAUCAGCUUGUUGGUGGGGUGAUGGCUUACCAAGGCUUUGACGGGUAACCGGCCUGAGAGGGUGACCGGUCACAUUGGGACUGAGAUACGGCCCAGACUCCUACGGGAGGCAGCAGUGGGGAAUAUUGCACAAUGGGCGAAAGCCUGAUGCAGCGACGCCGCGUGAGGGAUGACGGCCUUCGGGUUGUAAACCUCUUUCGCUCAUGGUCAAGCCGCAACAGUGGUUGUGGUGAGGGUAGUGGGUAAAGAAGCACCGGCUAACUACGUGCCAGCAGCCGCGGUAAUACGUAGGGUGCGAGCGUUGUCCGGGAUUAUUGGGCGUAAAGGGCUUGUAGGCGGUUUGUCGCGUCUGCCGUGAAUCCUCUGGCUUAACUGGGGGCGUGCGGUGGGUACGGGCAGGCUUGAGUGCGGUAGGGGAGACUGGAAC